CGCCGGAGAGGGGCGUCGCAGUUCAUCCCCGAAGCCAGGUACAGUGGAGUUGCCCAACUGUACUUAGGGAUUCGUGAGCGAAUCAAUAUGAAUAAGACUACUAG